AUGAGAUUAAGCCAUGCAUGUCUAAGUACAUGCCGUAUUAAGGCGAAACCGCGAAUGGCUCAUUAAAUCAGUUAUGGUUCCUUGGAUCGUACCUUACUACUUGGAUAACUGUGGCAAUUCUAGAGCUAAUACAUGCAGCAGAGCUCCGACCUUCGGGGACGAGCGCUUUUAUUAGACCAAAACCAAUCGGACCUCGUGUCCGUACUUUGUGGUGACUCUGUAUAACUUUGGGCUGAUCGCACGGGCCCGUCCCGGCGACGUAUCUUUCAAGUGUCUGCCUUAUCAACUUUCGAUGGUAGGUUACGCGCCUACCAUGGUCGUAACGGGUAACGGGGAAUCAGGGUUCGAUUCCGGAGAGGGAGCCUGAGAAACGGCUACCACAUCCAAGGAAGGCAGCAGGCGCGCAAAUUACCCACUCCCAGAACGGGGAGGUAGUGACGAAAAAUAACAAUACGGGACUCUUUUGAGACCCCGUAAUUGGAAUGAGUACACUCUAAAUCCUUUAACGAGGAUCCAUUGGAGGGCAAGUCUGGUGCCAGCAGCUGCGGUAAUUCCAGCUCCAAUAGCGUAUAUUAAAGUUGUUGCGGUUAAAAAGCUCGUAGUUGGAUCUCAGUUCCAGACGGGUGGUCCGCCUACCGGUGGUUACUGCCUGUUCUGAACAGCCAGCCGGUUUCUCUUGAUGAUCUUCACCGGUUGUCUUGGGUGACCGGCAAGUUUACUUUGAAAAAAUUAGAGUGCUCAAAGCAGGCGUGACGCCUGAAUAAUGGUGCAUGGAAUAAUGGAAUAGGACCUCGGUUCUAUUUUGUUGGUUUUCGGAACACGAGGUAAUGAUUAAGAGGGACAGACGGGGGCAUUCGUAUUGCGACGCUAGAGGUGAAAUUCUGGACCGUCGCAGACGACUACUGCGA
rnacentral:rRNA from 1 species